rnacentral:rRNA from 1 species
UUGAACUGAAGAGUUUGAUCCUGGCUCAGAUUGAACGCUGGCGGCAUGCCUUACACAUGCAAGUCGAACGGUAGCGCGGGGUAACCUGGCGACGAGUGGCGAACGGGUGAGUAAUGCAUCGGAACGUGCCCUGGAAUGGGGGAUAACGUAGCGAAAGUUACGCUAAUACCGCAUAUUCUGUGAGCAGGAAAGCAGGGGAUCGCAAGACCUUGCGUUCUGGGAGCGGCCGAUGUCGGAUUAGCUAGUUGGUGGGGUAAUGGCCUACCAAGGCGACGAUCCGUAGCGGGUCUGAGAGGAUGAUCCGCCACACUGGGACUGAGACACGGCCCAGACUCCUACGGGAGGCAGCAGUGGGGAAUUUUGGACAAUGGGCGGAAGCCUGAUCCAGCCAUGCCGCGUGAGUGAAGAAGGCCUUCGGGUUGUAAAGCUCUUUCGGUGGGGAAGAAAUUGCACGGGCUAAUAUCCUGUGUAGAUGACGGUACC